UCUCCGUAGGUGAACCUGCGGAGGGAUCAUUACUGAGUGAGGGUUCCGGCCCGACCUCCAACCCUUUGUGAAUUCGACCCAGUUGCCUCGGGGGCGACCCGGCCCAUUGGGCGUCGGGGCCCCCGGAGCCCAUCAAACCCUGCGUAACUAAGUCGUCGGAGUUUAAACAAACUAAACAAAACUUUCAACAACGGAUCUCUUGGUUCGGGCAUCGAUGAAGAACGCAGC
rnacentral:misc_RNA from 1 species